rnacentral:rRNA from 1 species
AGUGAACGCUGGCGGUAGGCCUAACACAUGCAAGUCGAACGGCAGCACAGUAAGAGCUUGCUCUUACGGGUGGCGAGUGGCGGACGGGUGAGGAAUACAUCGGAAUCUACUUUUUCGUGGGGGAUAACGUAGGGAAGCUUACGCUAAUACCGCAUACGACCUACGGGUGAAAGCAGGGGAUCUUCGGACCUUGCGCGAUUGAAUGAGCCGAUGUCGGAUUAGCUAGUUGGCGGGGUAAAGGCCCACCAAGGCGACGAUCCGUAGCUGGCCUGAGAGGAUGACCAGCCACACUGGAACUGAGACACGGUCCAGACUCCUACGGGAGGCAGCAGUGGGGAAUAUUGGACAAUGGGCGCAAGCCUGAUCCAGCCAUACCGCGUGGGUGAAGAAGGCCUUCGGGUUGUAAAGCCCUUUUGUUGGGAAAGAAAAGCAGCAGGUUAAUACCCCGCUGUUCUGACGGUACCCAAAGAAUAAGCACCGGCUAACUUCGUG